rnacentral:rRNA from 1 species
GUCUACAGCCAUACCACCCUGAAUGGUCCCAGUCUGAUCUGAUAUCAGAAGCUAAGCAGGGUAGGCCUGGUUAGUACUUAGAUGGGAGACUGCCCAGGAAUACCUGGUGCUGUAUAUU